UUGUUGGCGGGGUAACGGCCCACCAAGGCUGCGAUGGUUAGCCGGCUUAAGAGGGUGAUCGGGCACAUUGGGACUGAGAUACGGUCCAGACUCCUACGGGAGGCAGCAGUAGGGAAUUUUGCGCGAUGGACGAAAGUCUGACGCAGCAACGCCGCGUGAGCGAUGAAGGUUUGCGGAUUGUAAAGCUCUGUUGAGUGGGAAGAAGACUCUCCGGGAUAAUACCCCGGAGACUUGACGGUACCACUCGAGGAAGCCCCGGCUAAAUACGUGCCAGCAGCCGCGGUAAUACGUAUGGGGCAAGCGUUGUUCGGAAUCACUGGGCGUAAAGGGAGUGUAGGCGGAAAGGUAAGUUAGAAGUGUAAUCCACGGGCUUAACCCGUGACUCGCUUUUAAUACUGCUUUUCUUGAGUAUGGGAGAGGGAGAUGGAAUUCCAGGUGUAGCGGUGGAAUGCGUAGAUAUCUGGAAGAACACCAGUAGCGAAGGCGGUCUCCUGGCCCAAUACUGACGCUGAGGCUCGAAAGCGUGGGGAGCGAACAGGAUUAGAUACCCUGGUAGUCCACGCCGUACACGAUGGACACUAGAUGUUGGCCUAUUCGGGGUUCGGUGUCGUAGCUAACGCGUUAAGUGUCCCGCCUGGGAAGUACGCUUGCCAGAGUGAAACUCCAAGGAAUUGACGGGGGCCCGCACAAGCGGUGGAGCCAUGUGCUUUAAUUCGAUGCAACGCGAAGAACCUUACCUGGACUUGACAUGGGGGUGCAAAGUUUUCAGAGAUGAAAACC
rnacentral:rRNA from 1 species